UCAGCUAUACAUGAGUAACCUGAUAUACUUAACUACGCUUUGAAAGAGUGUUUACUGGACUAUUUUAUUCAUUACAUAACAUACCAUACUCCUUUGAAAAACAACUAUGAGCAAUAAUAGAAUAGCGGUAGAAUAUGAAAGAAAUAUUGUAUGCAAAAUAUGUUCAGGAUACAGUUAACAAAUGAAGGUAUUUGACUUUUACCUAAAUUAGUGUGUUCAACUACAUGCGCCUGACGCGGGUUAUCUUAUAAUGUGUGCUUAUAAUGUGUGUAGUCAAACACACGGUAAUGUUUUUAUGCAUUAAUACGCAUAUAUAACUUGUUCACUGUAUGGCAAGACUAACAAUGGAGUAUAGUUACUGUGUUCGUGAAGCAACGCCGGAAGACAAGCAAGCGGUGUUACAAAUACAUGACAAUGUGUAUGACGGCCUGGAUUACUUACAGGACUAUUAUGAUUACUUUCAAAACAGCGAUCACGUGACUCCUUAUGUUUACACUGAAAACGAUAAAAUUAUUGCAUAUGUAGCUUGUUGUCGUGUGGACAAUGGGGAGACCGCUGUGACAAGAGCAGGUCGUGUAUGCCCUGAUCAUCACGGAAAACAUCUGUAUAGUCGUUUUAAAUCUGAAAUUGAGACUCUCCAAAAGGCGGAUGGUAUAACUAGACGACAUGCGCUUAUAAAAAGUGCACCUCCCGUCUGAAAGGUUCUUAAAUUCCUACAAGCCCGUCGCAAAGAAGGACAUUUAUUUGUUUGAAUACAACAGAGGCAAUGUAUCGAGCAAAUUAAAGUUCCUUGCUUCAGAUCACAGCCCAAGUGCGAAAGUUAUUGACACUAUACCGGCUGACUUUCUGUCUCCUCCAUACAGUAAUUACUUGUUUCCGGAAGGACGUGUUAUACUGGACUGGGUACCAUUUCGUCUUUUACUAGCAAAUGUCCCUUUGUUCAAAGGAAGGAAUACAGUCUUCUAUACGGAUAUCACCACUGUUGAAACAGAACGCAAACGAGAAAGUUAACGAUGAGCCUACACAGUUGAAAACCAAACAUGCUGUCCCUCAUCCAGUACAAGGUCUUUUGUCGGCAAGUACCGUCUUUAAGGCUCAUCAUGACUUAGAUUUGUCAUGCAACUUGGAUGUUUUCGGAACCGAUUUUCGCUCUUUACGGGAUCAUAUCAUUUUCCACCUGCAGCGAAUAGAUGCCAUAGGUCUCGAAAAGAUAAAUCUACGAGUUUAUACAAUGAAAGGAGUAGAUGCCAGCCCUUUGCUAGAUCCAUUUCUGCGGUCGUUAGGAGUGGAAACACUAACAAGAGAAUCAACAAUAAACCAAUAUAUAGAACAAGUUAUUUACGAGAAGGAGAUAAACGGGUGAAGUAAAAAAAAACUUGAUAUUUUCUAACGAAAAGAAGUUUGGAUGUUUGAGUUGCUUUCAGUUGGUAUGAGCUUGAAAAAUAUGUAUGGGCUUGAUAAUGAUACUAGGUUAUAGUUAAUUAAAAGAAUUCUCCAAAUAUGUGCCUUUACCAUGGAAAAACCAGGAUGACUGUCCAAAAGGGAAGGACACGUCCCAAAAGCAGAUCCUCCUCUAACCGCUUGUUCCUUUUGCAAAAACAGGAUUCUUAUACAACAAAAGGUUUAAUUAACAAGCAAUCUCUGUAUUACAAAAGAUGUUGUAACAUGUUUAUCAAGGCCUUCGCUAUAUAUAUCAACAAAGUUAGUCCUAGUACUUUUUUUAAAGGGGUGAUGUUUUACUUAGAUGUACCCUUAAGUCAGUGGUUUGCUUUUCGGCGUUCAUAUUUAGAGAGGUAAGUUGUUGAGAAGAACAUGCCUUAGGAUUGACUUCUUAGUUUGUACUAGUUUACAACCAUGUUUUUGUCAUUUAUGUAAGAGCGUAGUUCACCGAGGAAUUGUUUUGUUCCAAAACGUUGAAUUUAAUAAAGGAAGUGUGAAAUUUGCUAGUAACCUCCUAUACGCUUUUCCAGCGUUAGGGUUAAUGGCCGCUCCAAGCAGCGUGUUUUCAAUUUGCGUUUCUUCUGCGAGGUUCAUUAUGUGAAUGUUGUGUUGUAGGUUUAUGACGUAAUUCUCCUCCACUUUUAUAUUGAUCCAAUUAUAAACAACGCAUUUGUUUAUAACAAAAAAUAAUAAAUGAUUGAAUAAA
rnacentral:lncRNA from 1 species